UGGGGAAUAUUGGACAAUGGGCGAAAGCCUGAUCCAGCCAUGCCGCGUGGGUGAAGAAGGUCUUCGGAUUGUAAAGCACUUUAAGUUGGGAGGAAGGGCAGUAAGCGAAUACCUUGCUGUUUUGACGUUACCGACAGAAUAAGCACCGGCUAACUCUGUGCCAGCAGCCGCGGUAAUACAGAGGGUGCAAGCGUUAAUCGGAAUUACUGGGCGUAAAGCGCGCGUAGGUGGUUCGUUAAGUUGAAUGUGAAAGCCCCGGGCUCAACCUGGGAACUGCAUCCAAAACUGGCGAGCUGGAGUAGGGCAGAGGGUGGUGGAAUUUCCUGUGUAGCGGUGAAAUGCGUAGAUAUAGGAAGGAACACCAGUGGCGAAGGCGACCACCUGGGCUCAUACUGACACUGAGGUGCGAAAGCGUGGGGAGCAAACAGG
rnacentral:rRNA from 1 species